UUUAUUUCAUUACAGGGGCUCUUCGCGCAAGCGCACUGCUCGGUUACGGAGCUGCAAGGAAAGAAGAAGUGAUCGAGUGCAGUAGUGUAAUGGAGCCGGAGGCUGGGGUACUGGAAUCUGAAUCCUUCAGAUUGACAAACAGGAAACUCAAACCAAACAUCACAUUGAGAUCUGACAAAGGCACUCACGUCAUCAGAACCUGAAUAUCAGCAGCAUCUGAAUGUGGAAGGGUAUUAGAAGGGGAGGAUUUGCAGUCGGGAAACUGAAACCAAACAUCACAUCAGAAUCUGAUGGAGUCUCUCAAUUUAUCAGGAUGGGAAUGUCAUCGCCUUGGAACAUGGAAGGAAAAAGCACCGUUCACGCUGGUGAGAAACCCGAUAAAUGUGGGACUGUGGGAAGGGGUUCAAUUACUCGUCUCAGUUGGAAACACAUUGGCGCAGUCACAUUGGGGAGAUGCCUUUUACCUGCUCUGAGUGUUGGAGGGGAUUCAGUCAGUCAUCCAACCUGCUGCAACACCAACGAGUUCACACUCUGGAGAGGCCCUUCAGGUGCUCUCACUGCAGGACUGGCUUCAGGCGAUCGGAUGACCUCAUCACACACCAGCGAGAGGUUGUUCACCUGCUCCAUGUGUGGGCAGGGAUUCAAUCAUUUUUCUGUCCUGUGGACACACUGAGUUCACACUGACGAGGGAGUUUAAAUGCUGUAGCUGUGAAAAGAGCUUUAAAAGCCCACUUUCACUGAUGGAACACCAGCGCAUUCACACCGGUUCCACGCCAUUCAGCUGCUCUGAGUCUGGGAAGAGUUUCAGGGGAUCUCCACUCUGCUGAAACACCAAUGCACUCACAUCGGGGAGAGGCUGUUCAUCUGCUCCGAGUGUGGGAAGGGAUUCACUCGGUUAUCCAAUCUAUUGCGGCAUUGGCACGUUCACUGAGUCGAGAGACCUUUUAAAUGUCCAGACUGUGGGAAAUGCUUUAAAAGGUCUGAGAAACUGAUGUCCCAUCAACGUGUUCACACUGACGAGAGACCGUUCACGUGUUCUCACUGCGGGACGGGGUUCAGGCGAGCAGGUGACUUCACUGCACACCAGCGAGUUCACACUGGGGAGAGGCCAUUCACCUGCUUGGAGUGUGGGAAGGGAUUCACUCGUUUAUCUCAUCUCACUACACAUCACCUUGUUCACACAGAUAUGAGACCUUUUCAAUGAUCUGACUGUGAGAAGCACUUUAAAAGCAGAAAUGAUCUGAUGAAACAUCAGCAAAUUCACACUGGGGAGAGGCCAUUCACCUGCUCUGUGUGUGAGAAGAGAUUCACUCAUUCAUCCAACCUGCUGAAACAUCAGUGAAUUCACAAGUGAUUACAGGGGUUGGAUUCUGCUGUUGUUGCUGCUGUUAAUCACAUCCUGGACUAAACCAUGUCCAUUCUGACAGUUGGGGUUGACUCUAAUGUCAGUUGCCCAGUUUAGGCUUAGCAUGUACCCACACUGUCUCUCAAUCCUGUGUGAAUAAACCAUCAUAUCUGCAAACCUCGUUUUCAAUGUAAAUCACUCAGAAACUUUCUUGAACUAAAGAUGAACAAAAAACAGAUCACAGUGCAAUCCUGCAGCUCUAUAUUGACUGACUGGAGAAAGUCUGUUCUGUAACUCGAGGAUGAAGCUUGGUAAGCUCUGAAUGUUUGUAAUUACAAGUAGGCUCAAGCUAUUUGAGAGACGGGCUGAUCAAAGCUGUUAACUUGUCAGAUAUUGAAGGAAUUAUUCUGAAAAUAAACUCACCAACUGAUAACCUCAGACCCUGCUCCCUGCUGUAGUUAAUACUCAGCAUCCAUUUGUGCCGAUUUGCAGUGAAUCACUGAAUAUCCUGUGGAACCUUUGUUCCUUGUUUUGUGAAAUAGCUCUCCCCAUUAGUGCUGAACUGCUGGAUAACUCUGAUUACAUUUAGACACGUUUAGAAAGGAUCUGUGUGUCCACAUUUCAUUGUGAUUUGAAAACAAUAAACAAUGUUCAUGCCUGA